GUGGGUCUGGGCUUGUAGCUCAGUGGUAAAACACUUACCUUGCAUGUGUGAGAAAUUGGAUUCGAUUCUCAGCACCACAUAUAAAUAAGUGAAUAAAAUAAAUGUCCGUCAACAACUUAAAAAAUAAAUUAAAAAAAAAAUGGGCUGGGAUUAUGGCUCAGUGGUAGAGCGCUCGCCAAGCAUGAGCAGGACCCAGGUUCGAUCCUCAGCACCACAUAAAAAAAUAAAGGCAUUGUGUUGUGUCCAUCUACACCUAAAAAAUAAAUAUUAAAAAAAAAAUUAGUCUUGCUAGGCAUGGUGAUGCAUACCUGUAAUUCCAGUGGCACAAGAGGCUGAGGCAGGAGGAUUGCCGGUUCAAAGCCAGCCUUAGCAACAGCAAGGCACUAAGCAACUCAGUGAGACCCUGUCUUUAAAAAAAGAUACAAAAAGAGCUGGGGAUGUGGCUCAGUGGUUGAGUGUCCCUCAGUUCAAUCCCUGGUCUCUCCCCAACCCCUGCCAAAAAAAAAAAAUAGUCUCAUUCAUAUAUUAAAGGAAUAAAGAUAAAAACCUGCAUACUCAUUUUGAUAUAUGUAGAAAUAUUUAUUUGACAAAUUUCAACACUCAUUUAUAAUAAAAAUUCUCAUCAAACUAGAAAUAAAAGGGAAUUUCUUCUGUCUGAAAUUCAUGUCUAGUGUUAUAUUAGGUGGGCACAGUGGUACUUAGGUAUAGUUCUAGCUGCUUGGGAGGCUGAAAUGGAAAGCUCACUUGAGUCUAGGAGUUUUGAAACUAGUGUGGGCAACAUAGAGAUACCCUAUCUCAGAAUAAAUAAAUUAAUAAGAGUGAAAUACUGACGUUUUCUCCUAAGGUCAUGAACAAGGUAUGGUUUCCUGUGCUCACCAUUCCUAAUAAACAUUUUACUGCAGGUUCUACUCAGUGAAUUGAGGCAAGAAAAUUAAGUAAAAAGCAUAAAUAUUGGAAAAAAGUAAAAUUUUCUUUGUUCACAGACAAUAAGAUUGUUUACUUAGAAAAUCACAAUAAAUCAACCAAAAACCUAUGGAACUAAAAACUGAAUUUUAAUAGGUCAGGAUAUCAGAUUAAUAUAUCAGAAUCAAUAGUUUUGCAAGAGCUGUGGUACAUACCUGUAAUCCCAGCAACUCCAGAGGCUGAGGCAGGAGGAUUUCAAGUUUAAGACAGGAUUCAGCAAUUUAGUGAGACUCUGUCUCAAAAGAACAAUUUUUAAAAAGUGGGUGCUGGGUAUAUAGC
rnacentral:lncRNA from 1 species